UGGAUGCCUAGGCCUAGAAGCAUUUAUAUUACCAGAAAAAUUAAACUCAGGCAAAUCAUCAUCAUCACGAACUGCUUUGGGACCAAACCCAGGUGGAAUAUCAUCAUCGUCGUCCAGGGUAGGAUCGUGUUUCAAAGAUAUAGGUCCUUUAGGCAUCAAAUUUACAUUAACGUUUCCAUCAUCGUCCGGGGUAGGAUCGUGUUUCGAAGAUACAGGUCCUUUAGGCAUCAAAUUUACAUUAACGUUUCCAACUUUUUCAUGCUGUCCUCUAGAAAACAUCUGUUGUUUUUUCAAGCCAUGUUUAUGGUGCGAAGAAGAGUUAGGUGAUAUCGUUGAACUUAUAUGAAGUUUU
rnacentral:lncRNA from 1 species